rnacentral:rRNA from 1 species
UACGGAGGGUGCAAACGUUGCUCGGAAUCAUUGGGCGUAAAGCGCACGUAGGCGGCCUGAUAAGUCGGGUGUGAAAGCCCUGGGCUCAACCCAGGAAGUGCACUCGAAACUGUCAGGCUUGAAUAUGGAAGAGGGUCGCGGAAUUCCCGGUGUAGAGGUGAAAUUCGUAGAUAUCGGGAGGAACACCGGUGGCGAAGGCGGCGACCUGGUCCGACACUGACGCUGAGGCGCGAAAGCGUUGGGAGCAAACAGG